AGAACAUUGAAAAUGAAAACCGCAUUACCAUAGCAGCAGCCCAGCAGUCACAACUUCCACAAAUUUUAUUAUUUCAGGAGUCAUGGGUCCUGGAUUUUGGACACAUUCAAACACUUAGCCAGCAUGAUAGACAGAUGCAAGAUUCACUGUUUUCAUCAAAUGCAUUUUUUUCAUAUGUGCAUGUGAUAUCAUAACAUGAGCUCAAAGGAUGGAACUUACAUUGCAUUGGCAUAUUAUUUGGCUGUCUUUCUGUACAAGUUAAACUUCAGGAUUACUUGGAGGUGGGAAGAAUGCAGAGAAACAUGAAGAAAAAAUAAAUAAAA